GACGAACGCUGGCGGCAUGCCUAAUACAUGCAAGUCGAGCGAACAGAUGAAGUGCUUGCACUUCUGACGUUAGCGGCGAACGGGUGAGUAACACGUAAGGAAUCUACCUAUAAGCGGGGGAUAACAUUCGGAAACGGGUGCUAAUACCGCAUAAUAUCUUCUUCCGCAUGGAAGAAGAUUGAAAGACGGCUCUGCUGUCACUUAUAGAUGACCUUGCGGUGCAUUAGUUAGUUGGUGGGGUAAUGGCCUACCGAGACGAUGAUGCAUAGCCGACCUGAGAGGGUGAUCGACCACAUUGUGACUGGGACACGGCCCAAACUCCUACGGGAGGCAGCAGUAGGGAAUCUUCCGCAAUGGGCGAAAGCCUGACGGAGCAAUGCCGCGUGAGUGAAGAAGGCCUUCGGGUCGUAAAACUCUGUUAUAAGAGAAGAACAAAUUGUAGAGUAACUGCUACAGUCUUGACGGUAUCUUAUCAGAAAGCCACGGCUAACUACGUGCCAGCCGCCGCCGUAA
rnacentral:rRNA from 1 species